rnacentral:misc_RNA from 1 species
UUAAGUUCAGCGGGUAUUCCUACCUGAUCCGAGGUCAACCUUAAGAAAUUGGUUAAAACGACCGGGCCAAUGAGACCACCGAGACGCGUGCUAGUUAAAGCUCGUUGCAUCUAGGGUCUAACUGACACCGCCAUUAUCUUUGGAACCUGCCGUUCAAAGGCAAGAGGUUCAACAGCAAGCCGGGCUUGAGUAGUGAUAAU